GACUACAUGAGAGAGAGAGAGAGAACAGAUAGACUGCACAUGAAAGCAUUUGUGUGUUGUUGCUGAAGACAAACUCGGUUUACCUUCACCUGCUUUGUAUCAUGAACUGUUUUGCUUCUGCCCUCCUGCUCUUCCUUGCUACCCUGCCUUGGAACCAGCCGACUGUGGACUGACUGCAUCCUCCACUAACAAAGUAACAAAUGAAAUAAUUCCUGAGUAUCUUUUUAUGUGGGUGCACUUCGGUUGGACGCUGAAAAAUAUACAAAUUAGAAGCCAUAGCAGGGCUUGUGAAGUUGUAAGGAAUGUUGCUCUCAAAGCACAAAGAUGUGGAGGUACAAGGAAGCCUAUUGGAAUCUGGUACAUUGAACACCUCAGAUCUUGGAAUAAGUAUUUGCCUUUUGGAUUGGUUGUAGAAUAAAUGUUUAAUAGGAUCUGUAGGAGAUGUGAUCACAAUAUUGUAACAGUGAACCCUCAGGUUACGACUGUCCUGAUAAACAGCUUGGGUUGAUUAAUGUAAGAUUCAUCUGCCUCUUGUUAUCUGUAGAAUGUACUCAGGUAAACAUCAGGAUCUCAGCUGUACUGACUUAGAACCAACUUAAGUUACAAGUAGCCCUCAGGAACCAGUUGAGUUUGUUAAGUCAAAGAUCCACUGUACUAUUUUACUAGACUCCAAACUCUUUAUAGCAAAUACUGGUUCAUACCACUUUGUUUCCUUAUAAAUGCCCAUUUAAUAUAUUUAUGUUGGCUUGAGGAUAAAUGUUUUUUCUUUUUUAGCACAUUUAUGAUGCGACUGUAAAUAGCAUGUCUCGGUACUAGGUGGCUCUGUACCAGCGGUGGCACAUGCAUGACUGUCCCACGGGAUGGUACAAGCUGUAUGUGCAUGUCAUGCAGUACCACUGAUGAUUUGAGCCAGAGAGAUUGUGUUUAAAAAGCAACAUAAAACUUAGUUUUAUGACUUAGUGAGACCCUAUCUCAAAAGUUUUUUUUCUA